CUUGAGAUAUAGCUGAGUGGUAGAGUACCUGCCUAGCAUGCAUGAGAUCCUGGGUUGAAUCCCCUGUAUAAGG
rnacentral:tRNA from 1 species